CCUAUGGGUGGCAGCAGUGGGGGAUAUUGCACAAUGGGGGAAAGCCUGAUGCAGCGACGCCGCGUGAGUGAAGAAGUAUUUCGGUAUGUAAAGCUCUAUCAGCAGGGAAGAAAAUGACAGUAAGUAACCAAGAAGCCCCGGCUAACUACGUGCCAGCAGCCGCGGUAAUACGUAGGGGGCGAGCGUUCUGCGGUUUUACUGUGUGUAAAGGGAGCGUAUACGGUUAAGUAGGACUGGAGUCAAAGCCCUGGGCCCAACCGGGGGAUUGCUUUGGAAACUGUGUAACUGGAGUACAUGAGGGGAAAGUGGAAGUCCUGGUGUAGCGGUGAAAUGCGUAGAUAUCAGGAGGAACACCGGCGGCGAAGGCGGCCUGCUGGACUGAAACUGACGUUGAGGCUCGAAAGCGUGGGGAGCAAACAGGAUUAGAUACCCCUGUAGUC
rnacentral:rRNA from 1 species